rnacentral:rRNA from 1 species
GACGAACGCUGGCGGCGUGCUUAACACAUGCAAGUCGAACGGUGAAGCGCCUUCCUUUUUGGUGGGUGUGGAUGAGUGGCGAACGGGUGAGUAACUCGUGAGUAACCUGCCCCCUUCUUCUGGAUAACCGCAUGAAAGUGUGGCUAAUACGGGAUACUCUGGGUCUGUCGCAUGAUGGGUCUGUGAGAGCUAUUGUGUCGGUGGGGGAUGGGCUCGCGGCCUAUCAGCUUGGUGGUGGGGUGAUGGCCUACCGAGGCGGUGACGAGUAGCCGGGAUGAGAGGAUGGACGGCAACAGUGGGGCGGCACGACGCAGCAGCCUACUACAGGAGGCAGCAGUGAAGAAUGUAGCACGAGGGGCACACGGCUGAAGCAGCGACGCCGCGGGGGAGAAGGAGGCCGUGGGGUUGAGAACCUCUUUCGCGAGAGAAGCAGGCCUGCCUCGUUUGUGGGUGGGUUGACGGUAGCUGGAUAAGAAGCGCCGGCUAACUACGUG